rnacentral:rRNA from 1 species
CCUACGGGAGGCAGCAGUGGGGAAUAUUGGACAAUGGGCGCAAGCCUGAUCCAGCAAUACCGCGUGUGUGAAGAAGGCCUGAGGGUUGUAAAGCACUUUCAAUGGGAAGGAAUACCUAUCGGUUAAUACCCGGUAGACUGACAUUACCCAUACAAGAAGCACCGGCUAACUCCGUGCCAGCAGCCGCGGUAAUACGGAGGGUGCAAGCGUUAAUCGGAAUUACUGGGCGUAAAGCGUGCGUAGGCGGUUUUUUAAGUCAGAUGUGAAAGCCCUGGGCUUAACCUGGGAACUGCAUUUGAUACUGGAAAACUAGAGUUGAGUAGAGGAGAGUGGAAUUUCAGGUGUAGCGGUGAAAUGCGUAGAGAUCGGAAGGAACACCAGUGG